UACGAAGGGGGCUAGCGUUGUUCGGAAUUACUGGGCGUAAAGCGCGCGCAGGCGGUCUUCCAAGUCAGUGGUGAAAGCCCGGAGCUCAACUCCGGAACUGCCAUUGAAACUGUAAGACUUGAGGACGAGAGAGGUGAGUGGAAUUCCCAGUGUAGAGGUGAAAUUCGUAGAUAUUCGGAAGAACACCAGUGGCGAAGGCGACUUACUGGACACAUAUUGACGCUGAGGUGCGAAAGCGUGGGGAGCAAACAGG
rnacentral:rRNA from 1 species